AUGGCCAAAUAUUUUUGGAGUAGCUCUCUUGACAAGAAAUCAUUGCAUUGGGUGUCCUGGAAGGAGCUAGGUACACCCAAGUGCAAGGGCGGGAUGGGGUUCAGAUACCCGCAUCUUUUCAAUCUUGCUAUGCUGGGCAAACACGGAUGGCGAUUCCUCACCAACCCGAGUUCCCUGUGUGCAAGAGUUUUGAAGGGUCGUUACUUCCCCGACACACUGACUUCAUGA
rnacentral:rRNA from 1 species